UGCAUUCACUACUGUAAGUUGCUCUGGAUAAGAGUGUCUGCUAAAUGACUCAAA
rfam:Salmo salar isolate Sally breed double haploid chromosome ssa14, whole genome shotgun sequence.